GAGGUCGCGCCGCGCCGCAGCCCCGCAUCAAACAAGUCGCCGAAGAAAACUAGGGGCACCGCUCUCCUUUGAGGGAAGUCUGCAGCUGUAGCACCCCGGUGGGACAGGAGCUCCAUAAAACUGUGGACAGGGAACUUCAGCCACUCUACCAUCACGCUAAACAACUGGGAAGAACGAAUUUUCCCUUGCUUCAAACUGUGAAAGAUUAACAUUGGAAAAAGACUUAUUGAAGAAAUCUCAAUGUAUUUCAUUAGGAGGAUUAUGCUUUGAGCCAUCUAUUCAACUUUUUCAACAUCUGGGCUAAGUUUAAGCUUGAUGCAAUUCUGCUGAAGUCAGUGGAGCUACGCUGGGGAUGAAUUUCCCUUCUUGUUUGACUGGCAAAAGGCACUUUCAUCUGAGCAUUGGAGCUAUAUUCUUCAUCCUUCAGACUAAAGACCAAAUCCUAUUCAAGAAUUGGAAAACAGAGAUAUUAAUAAAUGCUCCCUCUGUAAAUGGAAUGCUGCCAACACAGGGCAAAAUAGCACUGGAUAGCCUUGGCAGUAUGCCCUGAUUCACAUUUGGUGGUUUAUUUGAGAAGGAGCAACAUGUGCAUUCAUGAUCUGUCUGAAAGCAUUUGCAGCAUAUGUACUAUCUGGAUAAUUCGCACGAUACAUUUCUUGUUAUGAAAUACUAUAGAACCACUUCAGCUUGUGGGUAGACCAGUAUAUUAAUCAUGAGUUACCAAUGUGGCAUAUGGUUGCUGUAGAUCUGUGGGGUUUUGUGGCUGCCUUCAAUCACUUGCAUAAUAAAAUAAGCCAGGUCAGAAUUUUAUCUCUAAGAGCACAUACUGGAAGGAGCUGUUUCUGACCAAGUUGGUGGUGCAGGAUGUUGAAAUGUAUGGAAUUAGGACCUAAUUCUGAUCUACGUAGUCAUGUCUUGUGUAACAUACUUGCAGUAACAUCCACUGAAAUUACUAGGAUGACUCAGAAUAAUUUUACUAUUGAGUAUGGGCCAAAAGGGAAAAAUCAGACUCUUCGUAGGGUUAGGGACCUUCUAUUAUCCUGAGCCACUAUUCUUCUCCUUUAUAAACCUCACAUGAAGACCAGUGACCCAAGUUCAUAAGGACUGUCCUCACUUCUUUCUUGCCAAGACCUGUAAAAGUGGUAUCCUUUCCAGGGAUCCUUUCCGCCUGAGGACUGUUCACAGAGCCUGAAUGCAGUCACACUGCUUUGAUUGAUAGUCUUCUCAAAUUUGCUAUGCAUACUGUUCUGGUCUUAACUAGAUACAAAUGGUCAAGGACCAAAACAUGAAAUAGAAUUGGCCCAGGUAAUGUGUUCCUAAGGCAAGGCCUGUACACAUAGUGGGUGUGUAUACAUGUGCAAUUAAUACAUUUUGCUCCUGGGCACACCGUUUGAAUGUUUGCAGCAUGUGGAGCUGGGUCAGAGCAGCCCUGGCUGACAGGGGGCCCUGAGGGUCAGUCUGCCAGCCUGGGGCUGCUCCCCCUCAUUCCAUGUACUGUGGAGGGGCUGCCUGGGGCAUCAGCACAGGGGCGGGGGGGAGCUUCAGCACAUGGGUAGCUGGUAGGCAGCCCCAGCACUGAAGUGCCCUCGUGCCCCAGCCAGCCUGGGAAGUAUCUACACAUACACUUCUGUAGAGUUUUUUACUGUACAGCAGGAUAGUACUUGUAUUUACAAAUACUAUCCUGCUGCAGAGUACAUGUGUUUACUGCAGCCUAAUAGCUGCACACAUGUAGAUACGAGAUGUUUCUUAUGCAGCUAGUGAACUGCUCAGUAAAUGUCUCAUGUAGAUGUGCCCACCGAUGAGAAAUUUUUAUUAGCCUCCUACAAAUUCACCUCACCUGCAUCAGUAAAGGUUUCUGUUUUUAAUACUAAAUAUUUAUCUCACUCCUAGUCCAAUAUUGCCUUUGAGUUUUAUGUAACUUUAAUGUUUGUGACUUGAACUCUAUGGUCAAUUAAUGAACUUUGAGUUUUUUUGUUAAUAUCUCUGCACUGAAUGUGGGCCUGACUUUGCGAAGAGAAGCUAGUGGUGCAUUUUUGCCUUUUCUCCCUUAAGCUUCAAAGUGGGGAGGGAAGAGGAAAUCAGAGAGGCUGUGUCUUGCAAUGGUUGGUGGAAGGCAUAUGUAAUUUGCAUAGGUUAUCAGCAAAUUCUAGCUUUCCACUGAGCAAGGUGGAAGCUAGAGAGGCUUUUGCUUGGAGUGGAUAUGUCUUUCUAAGGUGCAAUGCCUUCCAGGGCUACUAUGGGAGUGGUGAAUUUUAGUUACAGGCCCAAUCUAAACUACAGCCCUGAGGGAAACAAAAACAAGACAAGUCAACAUCCCACUUCUUUACCUAUAGCCUGUAGACAAAUCUUUUGGGAUCUUUUACUAAAUACUUCUGUUAGCACAAAGGAAUCUGUUUUCACUGACCUGCAAGUGGACAAAUACACACAGUCAAAGUCAAUUUCAGUAUCAAAGUCCAGUAUGGAAACUGCAUCAGAACUCCUUAGCUUUCACUAAUAGAUCAGGAAAGAGGCAGAAUGCUCCCUGACGAGCCUGCCAUGCAGACUGGUGGAGGGGUAAAAUUCGUUUCUAUGCAGUGGGCCAGCAUGAAUUUUAGGAACCAUUUAACCUAUUUUAUAAAUACAAAAAAAGUGCAAAGAUCUUGUGAGAGCCCUUAGCACUGGAUGUAUUUACUCUUUGUUUAUACUAUCCAGGUUGUUUAAUUAAAACUAAUUAGUAAGAAUCAUCUGUAGAGGUACAGAUACUAUUACCAGUUUGAAAUGAGAUGUGUUUUCAGAUGAAUUCUAAUGGCCUGGUGGCAUAUAAACAACAACAAAAAAACCAAACAAAAAAGCUGGAAACUGCUUUAAAAUGCUAAGAAAUCUACCUUAACAAAAAUCAAAUAUACUGAUAGCUGGGAACUUUAAGCUAAUCCUCAAAAUCCUUAAUUUACUUUCCCCAAAAUUACAAUACUGGAAAUGGAGAUCACUUAGCACUGGAUCCAUCAGUGCACUGAAGCCUAUGAUUAACUUUGGUUCCAAUAGGCACUUAAGCAUGUGCUUAACUGCAUUCUUGGACCCAGAUUUUACUUGACACUUAAGAAAUUGCCUCAAAAACAUGAUUCCCUAGAGUUGUACAUAAUCAGCAUUUCUAGCUCUGGCAAUGAGUUUUUCUUCAAUAUUUUUAGUGGUCUUGCUGCAUCAAAGGAAGAAAAUCUUGAGAAACACAGAAAGAAAAAUAAGUUCUACAUUUUGUGAGACUAUUUCUGUCUUUGGUUCUAUAAUCUGAAGCACAGGUGUCAUGUUCUAGAAAUGAAAGAGAACACUUCUGCUAUGUCAGAUGGACAGCAGAGUUGCUAAUGUUUGAUCCUGAGUUGGUUGUCUUUCCAGAAAGCUUUAUGCCAGGGGUAGGCAAUGUUUUUGGCUGGAGCGCUGAAAAAACUUCAAUGUCUACCUUGUAAGGUGCCAGAGUACUGGCAUGCGAGAAAAACAAUACUGAGGAGGGGGGCACCUGGCAGGAUGCAAUGCAUAUUAAUAUAGUUAAUAAUCAUAAAUGUUGCUUUUUUUAACAGUAAAUACCAGGUUUUGUAAACAUUUUAAACCUGGUGACAAUAAAUAAAACUUCAUAUA